AUCAAGGUCUUUCAAGUAGUACAAUUUUUCUUACACACGAUUAAUUGAAAACCAUGAGGACUGUCCUUGGCCCACAGGAUUGGAUCUCCUUGCUGUGCUGACAGCUGGAUCUGUUCAUCAACUCACCACCUUUGUCCAGCCCCAUGACCUGGUCAAACCUCAGGCUAUCAAUGUGGUACAGCGGCUCCAGUACCCAGUAAAACCCAAAAUACAACAAAGGAGAACAGAAGAUGCAUGUAAUCUCGAUGUUUGAACGUUUGAAUGAUUGACUGAAAAGAAGACACAAACAAUUUCAAACAGUGUCUCUGGUACCAGGACAAACCAGGAACAUUCUGAUCCUAGAGUUGUUUAAACAAAGACUGGAGAGUACUGCCUUCUUUGGCGUACCAGAACCCACAGUAAAGUGGUAAAUUACUGUGUAACCAGAUGGGACCUUCAAGUCCAACACUAUCAAAUUAUAAAGAAGAAUUUCAGUAGCAGCUCGGAUUACAACCUCACUCACUCCACUGAGCCACUCUGAGUAUUGCAAAACACUUAUAGGAUGCAGGUAUUGCUAGGUCUGUUGUCGUCUGGAUGAUUAUAGCACAAGUGAAACAGAAGACUAAGAGAUUUGAAGGCGUUAAUGCUGGAAAUAGUGAUGGAUAGUCACUAUAUUUCUGAGCUAGGGAAGAAAAUGAG